rnacentral:rRNA from 1 species
AGAUAGAGUCUUCCCCUUCGGGGGACAAAGUGACAGGUGGUGCAUGGUUGUCGUCAGCUCGUGUCGUGAGAUGUUGGGUUAAGUCCCGCAACGAGCGCAACCCUUAAGCUUAGUUGCCAGCAUUAAGUCGGGCACUCUAAGUUGACUGCCGGUGACAAACCGGAGGAAGGUGGGGAUGACGUCAAAUCAUCAUGCCCCUUAUGAUUUGGGCUACACACGUGCUACAAUGGACAAUACAAAGGGCAGCUAAACCGUGAGGUCAUGCAAAUCCCAUAAAGUUGUUCUCAGUUCGGAUUGUAGUCUGCAACUCGACUGCAUGAAGCUGGAAUCGCUAGUAAUCGUAGAUCAGCAUGCUACGGUGAAUACGUUCCCGGGUCUUGUACACACCGCCCGUCACACCACGAGAGUCUGUAACACCCGAAGCCGGUGGAGUAACCAUUUAUGGAGCUAGCCGUCGAAGGUGGGACAAAUGAUUGGGGUGAAGUCGUAACAAGGUAGCCGUAUCGGAAG